GACCAUUUUCCUUCUUCAUUUCUUCCUGGCAUUUCAUUUUGGACAGAUGAGGAACAAAGGUAUGUGGCUAGGCGGACAGGAGACAGAGAGAAAAAAGCAUGUCGAUGGAAGGAAGAGGGAUGAAGAAGAAAAGGAUAUAAGAAUGGGCAUAUGGUACCAAAAAAGGCUUCUUGUAUAUGUCACAAAAAUCUAAAGGAAAUAAGAUAUUCUAAAAUAAAGUCAUGAGGAGGAAGAGCAUUCCAGGCAUGGGAAAUAGCCAAUUCAAAAACCUAGAGAAAAGAGAUUGGAUGUCUCGUGUAAGAAACAGCAAGAAGGACUAUUUGGCUGGACCAUCAAAUAAGGUUGUAAAGCCCCAACAGGAGGCAAUAAGGGAGCAAGCAGAAAGAAGAAACUAUGGAAAAAGCUGUGUGUGCUAUAGACUAUAUAAGGACAUCCUUUCUCGUUUCUUUUGGGCUGAGCCAUCUAGAUAAUCAGUCUCCCAAUCCUGAGUUGGAAGAGAUCUCAGAAGCUGUUCAUCUGAAUAACAAUCUUUUCUACAAUACAACCAAGAAAUGAUUUCCAGCCUUUGCUUGAAAUGAGCAGGAACUCACUGCCUUCCAAGACAUGACAUCUCAAGACUGAUGAUACGGAUCUCUAACUUCUAUGGAUUAUAUUACAAGACAAUGAAAAGAAUACUGGCCCUCAGGUCAGUUUCAAAUUCCACCUCUAUGAUUUAAGGAAAAUGAUAUAAUCUACCUGGGAUGUACUUGCCU
rnacentral:lncRNA from 1 species